GUCGAGCGGUAACAGGUGUAGCAAUACAUGCUGACGAGCGGCAGACGGGUGAGGAACACGUACGCAACCUCCCUCAAACCGGGGCACAACCUUGAGAAAUCAGGGCUAAUUCCCCAUAACAUUGCGAAAGGGCAUCCGAUUGCAAUUAAAGAUUCAUCAGUUUGAGAUGGGCGUGCGUCUGAUUAGGUAGUUGGUGAGGUAACGGCUCACCAAGCCAACGAUCAGUAGCUGGUGUGAGAGCACGACCAGCCACACGGGCACUGAGAUACGGGCCCGACUCCUACGGGAGGCAGCAGUAAGGAAUAUUGGUCAAUGGGCGAAAGCCUGAACCAGCCAUGCCGCGUGAGGGAUGAAGGUUCUCUGAAUUGUAAACCUCUUUUAUUUGGGAAUAAACGAUCCGUUUCUACGGAUUUUGAAGGUACCAGAUGAAUAAGCACCGGCUAACUCCGUGCCAGCAGCCGCGGUAAUACGGAGGGUGCAAGCGUUAUCCGGAUUUACUGGGUUUAAAGGGUGCGUAGGUGGAUUGGUAAGUCAGUGGUGAAAUACUACAGCGCAACUGUGGAACUGCCAUUGAUACUAUCAAUCUUGAAUGCAGUGGAGGCAGGCGGAAUGUGUCAUGUAGCGGUGAAAUGCUUAGAUAUGACACAGAACACCUAUUGCGAAGGCAGCUUGCUACACUGCGAUUGACACUGAGGCACGAAAGCGUGGGGAUCAAACAGGAUUAGAUACCCUGGUAGUCCACGCCCUAAACGAUGUUCACUCGAUCUCGGCGAUACACAGUCGGGGUCUAUGCAAAA
rnacentral:rRNA from 1 species